rnacentral:rRNA from 1 species
UACGUAGGGGGCAAGCGUUGUCCGGAAUCAUUGGGCGUAAAGCGCGUGUAGGCGGCCCGAUAAGUCCGCUGUGAAAGUCCAGGGCUCAACCCUGGGAUGCCGGUGGAUACUGUCGGGCUCGAGUCCGGAAGAGGCGAGUGGAAUUCCUGGUGUAGCGGUGAAAUGCGUGGAUAUCCGGAGGAACACCGAUGGCGAAGGCAGCUGCCUGGCCUGACACUGACGCUGAGGUGCGAAAGCGUGGGGAGCGAACGGG